AUGGCCGGGAAGAAGCCAGCGGCUGUGAGCACCGCGCCUUCCGAGGGCGAGGAGAGCGCCGUCAUCCCCAGCUCCGCUGCCAAGCGCGGGCCCGGCAGACCUAAGAAGGACCCCGUCCCCGCCGCCGCCAGCCCCGGCUCCACUGCCAAGCGCGGGCCUGGGAGGCCUAAGAAGGACCCCGUCCCCGCCGCCGCCGCAAGCCCCGGCUCCAAGCGCGGGCCCGGGAGGCCAAACAAGGUCCCCGCCCCCGCCGGGUCCGGCGAGGGCUCUGCUCCGGAGCCCGGGAAGAGCGAGAUGGGGAAGGGGGAGAUGGAGAAGGCGGCGACCCCGAAGAAGCAGGGGAAGGGGGAGAUGGAGAAGGCGGCGGCGCCAGUGAAGACGGAGAAAGGGGCCAAGGUUGCUACCAAUAAGAAGAAGGACAAGGGGGAGAUGGCGGCGUCCCCGGAGAAGAAGGAGAAGGCGGCGACCCCGAAGAAGAAGGACAAGGGGGAGGAGGCGGCGACGCUGCCGAAGAAGAAGGACAAGGGGGACAAGGCGGCGGCGGUGCCAGAGAAGAAGGACAAGGGGGAGAAAGCUGCUACCAAGAAGAAGAAGAAGGAGAAGGGGGAGAUUGCGGCGCCCCCGGAGAAGAAGGAGAAGGGGGACAAGCCGGCGAACCAGAAGAAGGAGAAGGAGAAGGGGGACACGGCGGCGGCCCCAAAGAAGAAGGAGAAGAAGGGCGGCGAGGCGGCGGAGCCCGGAUCCAGAUCCGGGAAGCAGGAGCCGUCCGGCGAAGCGGGCAAGCCCAAGCCCAAGCCCACGCCCAAGAAGACGAAGCAGCAGGCGUCAGACGGGGCGGCCAAGGAGACGCCCAGCAAGAGGAAGCGCGACGACGCCGGGGAACCCCAACCCCAGAAGGCGGCCAAGAAAGCUGACAAGGCCACGCCCACCAAGAAGAAGCAGGCCUCCUCCGGCGGCGCUGAGAAGGCCACCACGCCCAGCAAGACACCCCAGAAGGCAGCAAAGAGCGCCAAUAAAAGCCCCGGCAAGGCGGAGAAGGCCACACCGGCCAAAAAGCAGCAGCCCUCCGGCGCGGCGGAGAAGGCCACGCCCACCAAGAGGAAGCAUGGCGAUCUGGAACCCCCAAAGGCGGCCAAGAGCGAGCAGAAUGGCUCUUCGCCUGCGAAGAAACAGAAGGACAAGGCAGCAGGGGCGGCGCCGGUGGCCGCCGAGCCGGGCAUCUGCAGCUUCCCGAUGGCGCGGGUGCGGCUGCUGAUGCGGGACAAGGACGCCACCAUCCGAUCUAACAACGAGACCGUCUUCCUCGUCAACAAGGCCUCGGAGUUAUUCUUGGAGGCAUUUGCGAAGGAUGCUUAUCAGAAUGCCCUGAAGGAACGCAAAAAGUCAAUUACCUACGAUAACCUUUCGACGGAGGUGUGCAAUGAGAAACGGUACAAGUUUCUAUCAGAUUUCGUGCCGCUGAGGGUGACAGCCGGAGAUGCACUCAAGGCUGUGGUGGAGCGGUCCUAG
rnacentral:rRNA from 1 species